GAACCACACAUCUUCAAAUCUCAUAUUCCAUCAAAGAAGAGGUCAGAAGUGCCUAUAUCAGCAAUUGAAAGCCUUAGGAGGGACCUCUUGAAUGUGCUAAACUCUGUGGAGUUUUCCAACCCAUCUGAAUCGGCAGAGGAUGUGCUCAUCUAUAAUAAUGCAAACAACCAUCCAUCUAUAGCUGUUCAUGAAAUAGGGCUUGGAGCCAUUCUUCUCAAACCACCAACUUCUCCUGCAGAGGAGACAUCAGAGCCAGUGGACAAGGCUCCUGAUGAGGAAGCUGCUACAAGAAACUCAUCUAGUGACAAGGAGACAGUAAAUAAGUAAUUGGGUUCAGUACGCAGCAUUGGGAAGUCUCACGAAGCUACUUGCUUGUGUGGUGGGCAGAGACAAUAACGACCGCAACAUAUGUGAUGCAUAUGGAUAUUAGGCCAUGUCAUUAAGUUUUCGAACUAUCUAGAGAUUUUGGUUUUAGUAUAUAUGACUUGCAUUUGUUAAUAAUUCUGGGAAUAACUAUGUUGUUAUUGGAGAGAUAAGAGGUCAUUGGAGCAGUGCUCGUAUGCUUUUUGUUUAUUUAUAUAUAUUUCUUUUGGUGCUGAGGCAGAGCUGAAGCCCAAAAUAAA